rnacentral:snRNA from 1 species
AUCACUUCUUGGCCUUUUGGUUAAGAACAAGUAUA